rnacentral:rRNA from 1 species
UAGGGAAUCUUCGGCAAUGGACGAAAGUCUGACCGAGCAACGCCGCGUGAGUGAAGAAGGUUUUCGGAUCGUAAAACUCUGUUGUUAGAGAAGAACAAGGACGUUAGUAACUGAACGUCCCCUGACGGUAUCUAACCAGAAAGCCACGGCUAACUACGUGCCAGCAGCCGCGGUAAUACGUAGGUGGCAAGCGUUGUCCGGAUUUAUUGGGCGUAAAGCGAGCGCAGGCGGUUUCUUAAGUCUGAUGUGAAAGCCCCCGGCUCAACCGGGGAGGGUCAUUGGAAACUGGGAGACUUGAGUGCAGAAGAGGAGAGUGGAAUUCCAUGUGUAGCGGUGAAAUGCGUAGAUAUAUGGAGGAAAACCAGUGGCAAAGGCGGCUCUCUGGUCUGUAACUGACGCUGAGGCUCGAAAGCGUGGGGAGCAAACAGG